AUAAGACAUUUGUAGCCUGGUGU
rnacentral:piRNA from 1 species